rnacentral:rRNA from 1 species
GGUUUUUAGGUCUUAUUAAAAAUCAGGCCUGCUCAAUGCUGAAGUAAAUAGCCGCGGUAUCAUGACCGUGCAAAGGUAGCAUAAUCAUUAGUCUUUUAAUUUUAGACUGGUAUGAAGGGUUAGACUAAGAAAAUUUGUCUUAUAGUAAUAUUUUGAAAUUUAUUUUCUAGUAAAAAAGCUAGGAUUUUUCUUAGGGACGAGAAGACCCUAUCAAGCUUUACAAUUAGUUUUUAUUUUUCUUAAAGUAAAGAUAUUUUGUUUUACUGGGGCAGUAGAUGAAGAAAAUUUCAUUUUUUAAUUAUAAAUUCUAUUUUUGUAGUAACGAGAAUUUUUCAAAUAGGAACAAGUUACUGUAGGGAUAACAGCGUAAUUCCUUUAAAGAGUUCAUAUCAUCAAAGGAGUUUGCGACCUCGAUGUUGGAUUAAAAUAUCUGGAUCGCGCAAUAGCGAUUCUAGAAAGUCUGUUCGACUUUUAAAUUUUUCCA